GGAAUACUUUAUGAAAACAGUUCCUCUGAUUCUUCUUACCCAGGUGGCUUUCUCUUCUAACUAAACAGUGGAGAACUGAGGCCAGAAAUGGAUUCUACACAAGCGCGCAGUGUAGACGUCAAUGCUUGGCCAAGGAAUUGCAAGCAUGCAGCCUUGUUUUACAUUCUUAAUGUGGGCUACAGUGGCGUUUCCUUCAAAUAUCUGUCGCAUUAACCUUCUCUCUCGCUCUCUCUCGGUCUCUCUGUCUCUCUCUCUCUCUCUCUCUCUCUCUCUCUCUCUCAGUGUAGAUAAGGUAUGUCUGAUGGCCUGAGGGCCCCGUCGGGUCCCUGUAGUGGCUGAUAAAGGCUCCGUUGGGCUCCAGGCGUCCACAGAUUUCACACACCGAACUUCCUUCAUUCAGCACAGAUUACAGCACUGUUCCCACGUCCAGGCCACGUGGCGCUGUGGGAAUCCAAGAAAGAUUAGUUCAUUUCCAGACAGGUGAAAAUGUGCUUAUGGUUAGCGAGAGACAGAAAACAAACGACUUCUUCAGCUCCUCCUGUCUGAAGCAGCUUCAUUAGAGACGUAAGCCUUCAUGAAAUGCUAAUUCACAGCGUCUCUCUUUAAUUUGUUUCCUAGAAUCAAGAUCCUCUCUGAAUAUCUGGGCAGCCUGUAAAUAUUUGCGCAAACGGAUGUGUUUGAAUUACUUAAAGUUCACAAAUCCAGCCCUCACGAGAAGAUCUGAUUGAAAAUGUACUCUGUUUAAUUUGGUUAUGUUUGCAAGGAGCAUUUGCUCAAGAGGAAAGCGCUGCGUGUCGCUCCGAUUAUAAAUUCAAACGAAGUCGAGGGACAAAUAUUUCAUCUUGCGUUCAUCUCUGUUUAAAGUGGGUGUCAGGAUCAAGUCUUGUCACUUCAUGACAUCUCAAGAUUUUCUUUUCUUUUGUAGCUGACUUUGUUAGUCCCUGAAGAAAGACACACUGUUUACUCUGCAACUCAAACAGAAUAACUUGAUUUUCUGUAGUAAAUGUAAGUGGAGUUUGCCUGUGGUUGUCGGGGCAUUGCUAAGGUGUUGCUGGGGU
ensembl:lncRNA